UACGGAGGGUGCAAGCGUUAUCCGGAUUUACUGGGUUUAAAGGGUGUGCAGGCGGACUUUUAAGUCCGUGGUGAAAUCUCCGGGCUCAACCCGGAAACUGCCAUGGAUACUAUUGGUCUUGAAUAUUGUUGAGGUGGGCGGAACGGGUCAUGUAGCGGUGAAAUGCAUAGAUAUGACCCGGAACACCGAUUGCGAAGGCAGCCCACUAAGCAAUGAUUGACGCUGAGGCACGAAAGCGUGGGGAUCAAACAGG
rnacentral:rRNA from 1 species